UUUCGGCAUCGGCUGGGGGCUUUCCGGCUAUUGCCCGGGGCCGGCGGUCGCCUCGCUGCCGGGAC
rnacentral:tRNA from 1 species